AGUGAACGCUGGCGGUAGGCCUAACACAUGCAAGUCGAACGGCAGCACAGUAAGAGCUUGCUCUUACGGGUGGCGAGUGGCGGACGGGUGAGGAAUACAUCGGAAUCUACUUUUUCGUGGGGGAUAACGUAGGGAAACUUACGCUAAUACCGCAUACGACCUACGGGUGAAAGCAGGGGAUCUUCGGACCUUGCGCGAUUGAAUGAGCCGAUGUAGGAUUAGCGAGUUGGCGGGGUAAAGGCCCACCAAGGCGACGAUCCGUAGCUGGUCUGAGAGGAUGAUCAGCCACACUGGAACUGAGACACGGUCCAGACUCCUACGGGAGGCAGCAGUGGGGAAUAUUGGACAAUGGGCGCAAGCCUGAUCCAGCCAUACCGCGUGGGUGAAGAAGGCCUUCGGGUUGUAAAGCCCUUUUGUUGGGAAAGAAAAGCAGCAGGUUAAUACCCCGCUGUUCUGACGGUACCCAAAGAAUAAGCACCGGCUAACUUCGUG
rnacentral:rRNA from 1 species